CCUACGGGAGGCAGCAGUGAGGAAUAUUGGUCAAUGGACGAGAGUCUGAACCAGCCAAGUAGCGUGAAGGAUGACUGCCCUAUGGGUUGUAAACUUCUUUUAUAUGGGAAUAAAACGUUCCACGUGUGGGAUUUUGUAUGUACCAUAUGAAUAAGGAUCGGCUAACUCCGUGCCAGCAGCCGCGGUAAUACGGAGGAUCCGAGCGUUAUCCGGAUUUAUUGGGUGUAAAGGGAGCGUAGGUGGAUUGUUAAGUCAGUUGUGAAAGUUUGCGGCUCAACCGUAAAAUUGCAGUUGAAACUGGCAGUCUUGAGUGCAGUAGAGGUGGGCGGAAUUCGUGGUGUAGCGGUGAAAUGCUUAGAUAUCACGAAGAACUCCGAUUGCGAAGGCAGUUCACUGGACUGCAACUGACACUGAGGCUCGAAAGUGUGGGUAUCAAACAGGAUUAGAUACCCUUGUAGUC
rnacentral:rRNA from 1 species